rnacentral:tRNA from 1 species
GCCUGGGUGGCUCAGUCAGUUGAGCGCCUGACUUCAGCUCAGGUCAUGAUCUCGUGGUUCGUGAGUUCAAGCCCCACGUUGGGCU